rnacentral:rRNA from 1 species
GAUGAACGCUGGCUACAGGCUUAACACAUGCAAGUCGAGGGGAAACGACAUUGAAGCUUGCUUCGAUGGUCGUCGACCGGCGCACGGGUGAGUAACGCGUAUCCAACCUGCCUCUGACCAAGGGAUAACCCGUCGAAAGUCGGCCUAAUACCUUAUGCAGUCGUCGGAAGUCAUCUGAUGACGACGAAAGAUUUCAUCGGUGAGAGAUGGGGAUGCGUCUGAUUAGCUUGUUGGCGGGGUAACGGCCCACCAAGGCAACGAUCAGUAGGGGUUCUGAGAGGAAGGUCCCCCACAUUGGAACUGAGACACGGUCCAAACUCCUACGGGAGGCAGCAGUGAGGAAUAUUGGUCAAUGGGCGAGAGCCUGAACCAGCCAAGUAGCGUGCAGGAUGACGGCCCUAUGGGUUGUAAACUGCUUUUAUGCGGGGAUAAAGUGAGGGACGUGUCCUUCAUUGCAGGUACCGCAUGAAUAAGGACCGGCUAAUUCCGUG